UACGUGAGGGGCAAGCGUUGUCCGGAAUCAUUGGGCGUAAAGAGCGCGUAGGCGGUCCGGUAAGUCCGCUCUGAAAGUCCGGGGCUCAACCCCGGGAGGCGGGCGGAUACUGUCGGGCUAGAGUCCGGAAGAGGCGAGUGGAAUUCCGUGGUGUAGCGGUGAAAUGCGCAGAGUAUCGAAGGAGGAACACCAAUGGCGAAGGCAGCUGCGCUGGGACGGUACUGACGCUGAGGCGACGAAGCGUGGGGAGCAAACAGGAUUGAG
rnacentral:rRNA from 1 species